CGCUACUAUUAAAAGCUUUGAGCUCCUUUUCAAGCUGUUGAUCUUUUUUCGCCGAAUCCGAAGAUCAACAAUUUGAAAAGGGGCUCAAGGCACUUUAACUUCGCA
rnacentral:pre_miRNA from 1 species